UGGUAGUAGAAAUUUUUUCUUAAAACCUAAUUACAAUGGCGGCAUUUCAUCUUAUUAAAGGAACCUGUUUUUUAAUCGACAAUCCACGUUAAUUUUAACUUUAAUUAAAAAUUUAUAUACCGCCAUCUAAAAAACUAAUUUCAUAAUAAUAUUUUAAAUAAAAAAUAAAAAGUUAGGUCAAGGUGUAAUCAACAUUAAAGCAAAUAAUGGGUUACACUAAAAAUAAUUUAAGGACUAAAACAUCAAAACGUUUUAUAAAAAAGGAUUUAAAAGUAAUAAAAUAAUAAUAUUUUACUAUGAUUCAGAUAAAAAAUGUGC
rnacentral:rRNA from 1 species